UAUGUCUUGGGCUUCACGCGUGCUACAAUGGUCGGUACAAUGGGUUGCGAUACUGUGAGGUGGAGCUAAUCCCAAAAAGCCGGUCUCAGUUCGGAUUGGGGUCUGCAACUCGACCCUAUGAAGUCGGAGUCGCUAGUAAUCGCAGAUCAGCAAUGCUGCGGUGAAUACGUUCCCGGGCCUUGUACACACCGCCCGUCAAGUCACGAAAGUCGGUAACACCCGAAGCCGAUGGCCCAAGCUUUAUGCAGGGAGUCGUCGAAGGUGGGAUCGGUGAUUGGGACUAAGUCGUAACAAGGUAGCCGUACCGGAAGGUGCGGCUGGAUCACCUCCUUUCUAAGGAG
rnacentral:rRNA from 1 species